rnacentral:rRNA from 1 species
AGUGAACGCUGGCGGUAGGCCUAACACAUGCAAGCCGAACGGCAGCACAGGAGAGCUUGCUCUCUAGGUGGCGAGUGGCGGACGGGUGAGGAAUACAUCGGAAUCUGCCCAGUCGUGGGGGAUAACGUAGGGAAACUUACGCUAAUACCGCAUACGACCUUCGGGUGAAAGAGGGGGAUCGCAAGACCUCUCGCGAUUGGAUGAGCCGAUGUCGGAUUAGCUAGUUAGCGGGGUAAUGGCCCACCAAGGCGACGAUCCGUAGCUGGUCUGAGAGGAUGAUCAGCCACACUGGAGCUGAGACACGGUCCAGACUCCUACGGGAGGCAGCAGUGGGGAAUAUUGGACAAUGGGCGCAAGCCUGAUCCAGCCAUACCGCGUGGGUGAAGAAGGCCUUCGGGUUGUAAAGCCCUUUUGUUGGGAAAGAAAUCUUUCAGGCUAAUACCCUGGGAGGAUGACGGUACCCAAAGAAUAAGCACCGGCUAACUUCGUG